rnacentral:misc_RNA from 1 species
UCACCCCUCGGGCCCCGUGCUCGGUGUUGGACGGCCGGUUCGGGCGACCGAACCCCUCCUAAAGACAAUGACGGCGGCCUGUGGUUCCCCCGGUACACUGAGCUUUUUACGAGGCACGUGCCGGACGAGGGCGCCCAGGACCCGGUCCUCUCCUCUCAGCAGGAAACUUUUUCAAU